GGGGUCUCGAUCGCGCUAUUGUCAUGGAGACGGGAAGCUGGCUGCAGCGGCGGCGGGGACCGUGGGGCCGAGGUGGCUGCCAGCCGGCCAAUGUCUAAGCGAGGCGGAGCGGCCCAGGCGGCCCGAGCCUGGGGGAGCGCGCAGCCGGCCAGUGGCGGCCUCGCCGGCGGCCUCUUCCCGGGCUCGCAGUAGGCCCGAGUCGUCGCCGGGAGCUCCUGGGAGCAGCGUCCCCGCCCUGCUCCCCUCGCUCCCGCCUCUUGCGGCCCCACGGCCCCUCAGCGCCCGCCCCCGGCUCCGCCCGCCGCAGCCGCAGCCCCUGGCGCUAACGGUCGGUAACGGCCCGCGCGCGCCGCCCGCCGGGGGCUCGCGCCAGCCACGAGGGAGCGUCCGCGGCCCGCGCGCCCGCGCGGCGGAGGAGAGGUGUUAAGUGUGAUGCUUCCAUAAUACAUUUGGAUGCUGUCAGCUAAGUUCACUUCUGAAC
rnacentral:lncRNA from 1 species